UAUGCGUACAAGCAGUGGGAGCCCACUUUGUUGGGUGACUGCGUACCUUUUGUAUAAUGGGUCAGCGACUUAUAUUCAGUGGCGAGCUUAACCGAAUAGGGGAGGCGUAGCGAAAGCGAGUCUUAACAGGGCGUUUAGUCGGAAGGAGCAGACGCGAAACCAAGUGAUCUACCCUUGGCCAGGUUGAAGGAUGGGUAACACCAUCUGGAGGACCGCACCAAUAAGCGUUGAAAAGCUUCUGGAUGAGCUGAGGGUGGGGGUGAAAGGCUAAUCAAACUUGGAGAUAGCUCGUACUCCCCGAAAUGCAUUUAGGUGCAGCCUUGAUUUAUACUGAUGUGAGGUAGAGCGACUGAUAAGAUGCGAGGGCUUCACCGCCUAUCAAGUCUUGACAAACUCCGAAUGCGCAUCAGUUCUAUAUCAGGAGUGAGGGCAUGGGUGCUAAGGUCCAUGUCCUAAAGGAGAAGAAUCCGGACCAUCAGCUAAGGUCCCGAAAUAACCGCUAAGUUGAACUAACGAAGUCAGAUUGCUAAGACAGCUAGGAUGUUGGCUUGGAAGCAGCCAUUCAUUUAAAGAGUGCGUAACAGCUCACUAGUCGAGGAGUUUGGCGUGGAUAAUAAUCGGGCAUAAGCGGUUUACCGAAGCUAUGGGAUAUGUAAAUAUCGGUAGGGGAGCAUUCCACUCUGCGUUGAAGGCGAAGCGUCAGCUUCUCUGGAGCGUGUGGAAACGCAAAUGUAGGUAUAAGUAACGAUAAAGGAGGUGAGAAACCUCCUCGCCGAAAGACUAAGGUUUCCUGAUCAACGCUAAUCGGAUCAGGGUAAGUCGGGUCCUAAGGUUAAGCCGAACGGCGAUACCGAUGGCCGAACAGGUUAAUAUUCCUGUACUACCUUAUAGAGUGACGUGGGGACGGAGUUGUGAAAGUGUCGCGGACUGACGGAAUAGUCCGUUGAAGGGUGUAGAUGUUGAUAGGCGUAGGCAAAUCCGCGCUUAGAGUCGAACCUGAUAGUAUGUGGCGUCCGCAAGGACAACGCAAUAGUACACGUAAGCAUGCUUCCAAGAAAAUCCGCUAAACAUAAUCUUUAAGGUACCCGUACCGUAAACGGACACACGUAGUCGGGAUGAAUAUUCUAAGGCGCUUGAGUGAAUCACGGUUAAGGAACUAGGCAAAUUGACCCUGUAACUUCGGAAUAAAGGGUCCUCAAUGCAAGUUGAGGCGCAGAGAAUAGGUCCAGGCAACUGUUUAACAAAAACACAGGGCUGUGCAAAAUCGAAAGAUCACGUAUACAGCCUGACACCUGCCCGGUGCUGGAAGGUUAAGAGGAGAUGUCAUCGCAAGAGAAGCAUUGAAUUGAAGCCCCAGUAAACGGCGGCCGUAACAAUAACGGUCCUAAGGUAGCGAAAUUCCUUGUCGGGUAAGUUCCGACCUGCACGAAUGGUGUAACGAUCUGGGCACUGUCUCAACCGUGAGCUCGGUGAAAUUGUAGUAGCGGUGAAGAUGCCGCUUACCCGCAACGGGACGGAAAGACCCCGUGAACCUUUACUGCAGCUUUGCAUUGAUUUUGGGUAACAGAUGUGUAGGAUAGGUCGGAGGCUUUGAUGCUGCGUCGUCAGGCGUAGAG
rnacentral:rRNA from 1 species